AUGUCAAAGAAAGAGGACGUGUUUAUUCCUGAUGAUCUACUUCUCAAGGAUUUGUUCGACAAGCUUCCUAACCGGUCAUUUUUCAUCUGGUAUCCUUCUUCAAGCCUACCUUCCAUGUCUCGAGCAAAGCUGAACAACAUCCACGGUAGCAUUGGAGUCCAGGCAAUAUCCAAAGCUGUUGGGAAGAAUGAUUCACUCACAUUGGAAAAUGUCAGUCCAACAAAAGCUGCUCGAUGCAAGGUGAUCAAUGUUGGUAUGAUCAAACUUGUCCUUGCUUUUCUUGCCGAUCCUGCUCUCGACAUUUCUGCUGAAGAGCGGCACAAGAUUGUUUCCUGCCUGCUCGAUGUGAUGGUGCUAGAGACCAGCGAGCCAAUCACGGUGGGAUACAACGUGAAGCUAUCCUCUGGGGACGUUCUUGAUGUGAAGGGCACACGGAAACUCCGGUGGGGGAGGGAGAGCUCGAAACUCUACAUGCAGAAAAGCAAGCGUGCACCAGGCUACAAGGAAAAGUUGGAGUUUGCGACGAACUUUGCAGAUGAGGUAUCCCAAGGGCUGCUCUUCGAGAAAGCAGAGCAGAUCCCUUUGCUUGCGGAGGUCGUUAAAAUAUGUAGCUUUUAUGGACUUCUACGGUGCCGCUGUCGAGCACAUUCUGAAAUCAAAAAAUCUGCAGCUGUUCCUUGA
rnacentral:rRNA from 1 species